rnacentral:rRNA from 1 species
UACGGAGGUGGCGAGCGUUACUCGGUUUGACUGGGUGUAAAGGGUCCGCAGGCGGUCUAACAAGUAGAAAGUGAAAUCCUUCGGCUUAACCGGAGAACUGCUUUCUAAACUGUUAGACUAGAGGAUGGGAGAGGAGAUCGGAACUGUCAGUGUAAGGGUGAAAUCUGUGGAUAUUGACAGGAACGUCAGUGGGGAAGCCGGAUCUCUGGUCCAUUCCUGACGCUCAGGGACGAAAGCUAGGGGAGCAAACAGAAUUAGAUACUCUGGUAGUCCUAGCCGUAAACGAUGGGCACUAGGUGUCUGUCCGUAAGGAUGGGUGCCGCAGCUAACGCGUUAAGUGCCCCACCUGGGGACUACGGCCGCAAGGCUAAA